GACGAACGCUGGCGGCGUGCUUAACACAUGCAAGUCGAACGAAGUGGCGAACGGGUGAGUAAUACGUGGGUAAUCUGCCCUCCCCUUUGGGAUAAGACUUGGAAACGGGGUCUAAUCCCGAAACUAGGGGGUUGGGUUCGUGGCCUAUCAGCUUGUUGGUGGGGUGAUGGCCUACCAAGGCGGUGACGUGUAGCCGGCUUGAGAGGGUGACCGGCGACGUUGAGACUGAGAUACGGCCCAGACUCCUAAGGGGGAGAGCAGUGUGGGAUAUUGGCCAAUGGGGGAAAGCCUAAUGCAGCGACGCGGAUUGGGGGAUGAAGACUUUCGGAUUGUAAGCCUCUUUCGCUAUCGAGCGGGUAGGUAGAGAGAAAGCGCCGGCUAACUACGUGCCAGCAGCCGCGGUAAUAC
rnacentral:rRNA from 1 species